rnacentral:lncRNA from 1 species
AUGAAGGAACAAGCGUCUGUCCCCUUCCGUGAGCAACAGUACAAGCCCUCACCGUUACAGUCUGGUGGGAAGAUUCGCCUAUCUUCUGUUUUCUUUGUGGCGGAUUCUUUUCAGAGGAAAAGGUGGAAAGAGGAGGGGUCAGGUAAACCCACAGCUCCCAGAGCAGCAGGAGUCCAACAGCCUCAGAGAUCGGGAAAGAGAGGACCGAGCCUUCCUCAAGCCCUCCUCUUACCCAGCUUCCUUCUGCCUUUCAAGUGAAAUUCCAUCCCUAGUGUAAGCAGGGCCCCAGCAGUAAGAGGAAGACCACUACCAAGACCGAAUUCUUGGCUUGGCCGCUGUCACCCCUGCCCUUUGUUGUAAGGAGAAAGAAUACAGUGUGCUGUAUAGAUCCCUCUUCCCAAAGCACAUGUCGUUUGGAUCUCUCUGCUAGAGAGAGCUAAGAAAGAAGGAGGUGACUCAGAACUUGCUUCUCAGAACCUCGAGUGGGAACCCAGCUGGGCUGCAGGAAGUGUGGGGUCGGAGUGAAAGAACCCCCACAUUCCUCCCUUUUAGCUCCCAGCAGCCUCCUGCCUACUGCUAGUAGACUAGUCCCCAGUUUGUUCACUUCCUCUGCUUCUGCUGACAUCAGUGCAGAUCUUGUCACAGAAAGGUCCCUGCGUAGAUAAGACUGACUUCUUGCUAUUACUGCCUUCACAGACUUGAUAAUGUAGUGGCGGUUUAGAAGGAGAGAUAAAAUCUUCAGGGCAUUAAACAUGUCCAUGAGGCCAGUCGGUGAUGGCACACUCCUUUAAUCCCAGCAGAGGCAGGAGUAUCUCUGUCAGUUCAAGGCAAGUCUGGUCCACAGAGUGAGUUCCAGGACAACUACAGCUGUUUCGAAAAGAAACCCUGUCUGGAAAAAACAAAACAAAAUCAUGCCCUGAAUAACAAUACAACAUUCAGUAGAUUCCACUGCUGGUUUUGGUCCCAAUAAUUUCUCUCCUGGAUGUUUUUCUUCUGAAAAAAAAAAAAAGAAAGAAAGAAAGAAAAGAAAGAAAAAUGUCUCAAAGUCAUCAAAAUGGCUCCAAGCCUGAGGAAUACAGUUGGUCCCCCAAACCUGAAGGGACCAGCUUCCCUUUUGGCAGCCAUAACAGCUGAAAACGUGCUUCUAUGACCUUGUCCUAGACACUAGAAAGUCAGAUGCCUGCCUCGUGACAAGUAACCAAUCAGAAGUUAGCUGGUGGUGCUAUGCUUUAUGACCCUGGGUGUGCUUUACGGACAAGCGCACAGCAAUGACACACAGAGUAUGGCAACCACCCUGGGAGGGCCUAUGGACCAUAACAACCAGGUGACCAAUCAACACAGGGCAAGUCCUCCAAGCCUGGAGGCACACCAAUCGUGAGCCUGUGUGUACCCCAGAACACUCCCCUUACGCUGUCCUAUAAGAUCUCUCGGGAGGCCCUAGGAGCCGUCUUUUGCGAGCCAUCCGCCAUGGCGGAUGGGUGAAAGACCCGAGCUAACAUGGGGUUAGCUCGUUAAAUUACAAUAAAGCCUCGUGCAAUUUGCA